rnacentral:lncRNA from 1 species
UAUCAGGCAACUUCUUUCCAUGAAAUUGAGAUCUGUGCGUCUUGAAGCCGAUAGAUUAUCACAGAAAAACCAGCAACCCUAAUUUUAAAUCAUUUGCCACCAGUGUUAAUGGGCGGUUCCUAAUCCGUUUCUUAAUUUAAGGGUUUGUAAAAUCAAAAAACAGCUCAGAAAUGAUACGAUUAACAUAUGUCGGUUUAAGUUGGGUUGAUCUCAAAGUGAAGGAUGGAGAAAUGAAUUCUCUAUUGUCAUAAGGAAAAGGGAAGUCAUGAAGUUAGAAGGGGCUUGUAUCUGAAGGCCUCUGGCCAAUGUGCCUGCUGCCAUUUCCUCUGUCCCUGAGAUCUCCAGAAGAGAAAGGAGCUCCAGCCUUGCAUUCUUUGGGUGUGGAGAGGAGCAGAGCAGAAUGGAGCCUGCAGGUCAUGCCAGGAGUCACGGCAAGGCUGUGGCUGUCAGCUCAGAAUUCCAUCAUCACUUGGGAGAUUUCUGCGAAUCAUCACUAAAGCCAUUCACUUUCUCAUAACUAAACAAGAAUCUUCUUCUGGAGUUAAGUAUCAGAUAUGAAUGUUCUCACUGACCUCAGGAAGCAAAAGUCCUAAAUCAUUAUAUGGCAGUGAAGGUACAAAAAAAAAAAAAAAAAAAAAAUCAGCAGGAAAUAAAGCGGAACUGCUGCCAACACAUACAAGCUGCAGUAGCACCCACAAAAUGUGUAGUAUCCAUUCUAACACAUUCAUUGGACUGAUUACAUUGGCUCAUAGACUUGGUUAACUCUGGAAGAACAUAAUAGGUGUUUAUUGUUUACUAUGGGGAUGGGAAACAUAAUUAAGUCUAUAGUCUCCAAUUCUUCUCAAGUUCAAAUGAAACCAACAAUUUUGGUUUUGUCUUAACAUUCAGGAUGUGUUUCUAAUUAAACUGAAAUCACAGUAA